rnacentral:rRNA from 1 species
GACGAACGCUGGCGGCGUGCUUAACACAUGCAAGUCGAACGGAAAGGCCCUGCUUUUGUGGGGUGCUCGAGUGGCGAACGGGUGAGUAACACGUGAGUAACCUGCCCUUGACUUUGGGAUAACUUCAGGAAACUGGGGCUAAUACCGGAUAGGAGCUCCUGCUGCAUGGUGGGGGUUGGAAAGUUUCGGCGGUUGGGGAUGGACUCGCGGCUUAUCAGCUUGUUAGUGGGGUAGUGGCUUACCAAGGCUUUGACGGGUAGGCGGCCUGAGAGGGUGACCGGCCACAUUGGGACUGAGAUACGGCCCAGACUCCUACGGGAGGCAGCAGUGGGGAAUAUUGCACAAUGGGCGGAAGCCUGAUGCAGCAACGCCGCGUGCGGGAUGACGGCCUUCGGGUUGUAAACCGCUUUCGCCUGUGACGAAGCGUGAGUGACGGUAAUGGGUAAAGAAGCACCGGCUAACUACGUG